UACAGAGGUCUCAAGCGUUGUUCGGAUUCAUUGGGCGUAAAGGGUGCGUAGGUGGCGCUGUAAGUCAGGUGUGAAAUUUCGGAGCUUAACUCCGAAACUGCAUUUGAUACUGCGGUGCUCGAGGACUGGAGAGGAGACUGGAAUUUACGGUGUAGCAGUGAAAUGCGUAGAGAUCGUAAGGAAGACCAGUGGCGAAGGCGGGUCUCUGGACAGUUCCUGACACUGAGACACGAAGGCCAGGGGAGCAAACGGG
rnacentral:rRNA from 1 species